UCCAAGUGGUGAGAACUUUACCACAUCCCUAGAUUUCUGAGUGUGUGAUGCGUUAUCAGUUAAACAAGAGGUCAGAUGUAUGCACUCUGUGAUAAACUACCUCAUGGUAAAUGAUCAGCAGCAUUCAGCCAAUUGAUAAGCAGUUCUGAAAAGAAGCACUAGCCUGAGCAGCAACAGAGUCUUCCGGUGAAACUGGUGCACCAAAAUCAAGAUAUGUCAGCGAAGAAAAGAAAUUGAAGGUUUAUAUUCUAUAGAACCUACUGAGACGGCCGAGCUGCAGACAGCAGUCUGGAGUGAGUCAGGACUUGGAUUUAGGAGAGAAGAACCAGGAUCAAAAGGGAAACUAAGAACCAGAACAGAAGAGCAAGACCAAACCUGCAAGCCAUACCAGAGUUCAGGUAGACCAUUUUGCACAAGAAAAGUUCCACUGAGACAGGAAACCAUCUUAUACUCCUUUCCGGACCCGAGGAGCCAAAGGCCAACCUGGGAAGAGUCAGUA